AGUGCGAAGCGGUGGAAACGCAGCGGAGCGCCUUCACACGGCGGGGGUCCCAGGUUCGAAACCUGGUGUGCCCA
rnacentral:tRNA from 1 species